AUAUCUAAGGUUUCCAGAGUAAAGCUGAUCUGCUCUGGGUAAGUCGGGGCCUAAGGCGAGGUCGAAAGACGUAGUCGAUGGAUAACAGGUUGAAAUUCCUGUACUAUCCUGUAACAGAACUGUGGGGACACAGGCAGAGAGCGUGAGCCGGGAAUGGAAAGACCGGUACAAGCGAGGUAGGAGAAGAGUUGGCAAAUCCGCUCUUUAAUCUGAAGACGUGAUGUGGACUGAAAAUAAGUAGGGAAGCACGUGAGCUGACUGUCAAGAAAAGCCGCUAUUGUUUGCAGGAUACCCGUACCGUAAACCGACACAGGUGGAUGAGGAGAGAAUCCUAAGGCCGACGGGAGAAGCAUUGUUAAGGAACUCGGCAAAAUGACCCCGUAACUUCGGGAGAAGGGGUGCUCUUAGAAGUAAGAGCCGCAGAGAAUUGGCCCAAGCAACUGUUUAGCAAAAACACAGGUCUAUGCAAAACCGAAAGGUGAGGUAUAUGGGCUGACGCCUGCCCGGUGCUGGAAGGUUAAGGGGAGAGGUUAGCGCAAGCGAAGCUUUGAACUUAAGCCCCAGUAAACGGCGGCCGUAACUAUAACGGUCCUAAGGUAGCGAAAUUCCUUGUCGGGUAAGUUCCGACCCGCACGAAAGGCGUAAUGAUUUGGGCACUGUCUCAACAAUGCACCCGGUGAAAUUGAAAUACCAGUGAAGAUGCUGGUUACCUGCGCCAGGACGGAAAGACCCCAUGGAGCUUUACUCCAGCUUGAUACUGGGAUUCGGUAUUGCAUGUACAGGAUAGGUGGGAGGCUAGGAAAUGGUAACGCCAGUUGCCAUGGAGCCAAUGUUGGGAUACCACCCUUGCAGUACUGGGUUUCUAACCAGCAGCCGUGAUCCGGCUGGGGGACAAUGUCAGGUGGGGAGUUUGACUGGGGCGGUCGCCUCCGAAAGGGUAUCGGAGGCGCUCAAAGGUUCCCUCAGAAUGGUUGGAAACCAUUCGAAGAGUGCAAAGGCAGAAGGGAGCUUGACUGCGACACCGACGGGUGGAGCAGGUACGAAAGUAGGACUUAGUGAUCCGGUGGUAUAAAGUGGGAUUGCCAUCGCUCAACGGAUAAAAGCUACCCUGGGGAUAACAGGCUUAUCACUCCCAAGAGUUCACAUCGACGGAGUGGUUUGGCACCUCGAUGUCGGCUCAUCGCAUCCUGGGGCUGAAGUAGGUCCCAAGGGUUGGGCUGUUCGCCCAUUAAAGCGGUACGCGAGCUGGGUUCAG
rnacentral:rRNA from 1 species